rnacentral:rRNA from 1 species
UGGGGAAUCUUGCCCAAUGGGCGAAAGCCUGAGGCAGCGACGCCGCGUGCGGGAAGAAGGCCCUCGGGUUGUAAACCGCUUUCAGGAGGGACGAAGCUACUCGGGUGAAUAGCCCAGAGGGUGACGGUACCUCCAGAAGAAGCCCCGGCUAACUACGUGCCAGCAGCCGCAGUAAUACGUAGGGGGCAAGCGUUGUCCGGAUUUAUUGGGCGUAAAGCGCGUGUAGGCGGCCAGGCAGGUCCGUUGUGAAAACUGGAGGCUCAACCUCCAGACGUCGAUGGAAACCGCUUGGCUAGAGUCCGGAAGAGGAGAGUGGAAUUCCUGGUGUAGCGGUGAAAUGCGCAGAUAUCAGGAAGAACACCGAUGGCGAAGGCAGCUCUCUGGGACGGUACUGACGCUGAGACGCGAAAGCGUGGGGAGCGAGCAGGAUUAGAUACCCUGGUAGUCCACGCCGUAAACGAUGGGUGCUAGGUGUGGGAGGUGUCGACUCC